rnacentral:lncRNA from 1 species
UCCAGUCUUAAACCACCUCCUCCCCUCAAAACAUUAUGUUUAAAAUAAGGAACCAGAAACAAAUGGACACGACACGUUCUUUGAGCCAAGAGAAGUGUUUUCCAGUCGUGCCGCUGAUCAGCUGAAAGGCAAAAUGUGUAUAAAAAAAAUCUGGAAGAAAUAACAAGGUGUACUCCAGCGGCCGGAAGACUGAUGAGACAGGCAAAAUUCUCCCCCUGCAGCAUAGCGGGGGGAGGCUGAGUGUAUCUCUCCCGCUCUCGUCUCAAUGGCACAGACGAGGCAAGGUCAGUGUUAAGGUCAGUGGUUGCAGAAUAGGAAGUGGUUGGCAACUGAGAAAAUAUAUGGUGGCAGCCAGUUAGGCAAAAAAAAGAGAAAGAAAAGCAGACAGAGACAGAGAAGGAGAAAAAAGAGAAUUGGCUGGUAGAAAACAGCAAAUGAGCCACACGACAGAAAACACAGCUUUGCUGUUGGGUCCAGACUGUUUAUUGUGUCCUUGUCUGGAAGAUUUAAAAAUAUAUCUGGCGUAUUGCACACGCAAACAGAAUUAGAAAUGAAAAACUGAGCAUUAAUGCACGUUAAGCUUGUUUUUUCACAUGUCACCCCCCCCCCCCCCCUGCAGCAGGAAAAAUAGCCUCGCACGCGGGUGUUUUUGUUUGCACCGUGACAAAAAGAAAGUCAAAAAUUCGCAUCAUAAGCCAGGAAACACCGAGCACAGCUGCUCUGCUGGAGAUUGGAAUGAAAUAAGCCUCCAUGCACAUGGAGGGUGGAGGACGUAUGUACAUACGUCUUACAGCUGGGACAGCGCGGAGGGAGUUAGACGCCACUUCCUGUCUCAACAGAGCCCUGCAAAAGGCCGACCUCGGCGUCUCUCCCCGGCUGCUGACUGUUGGGGCGAUAGGAUGGCUCCUCGCGGUGCUUUAAUGCCUCUCGUCAUCAUCUGUGACACACAGCUCUCCCUCUCUCCAUCUCCCUCACUCCGGAGUCGUGCAAACAGCAGCCGGAACAUUCCGGGGAGCAGCGGGGGCAUGAGCUUAUCUCCCAACCCAGUGGAGCAGGGUGUGUAGAACGCACGAGGAAAAUAACAGACAUUGGACAUUCCGCGCACAUUCCAGGAGGGGAGAAACUGGUUUCAAAGAGCAAUUUCUCCAAGGUCAAGAGAAGAUUCAAAGGCUGUAAAAUGAUUACUGCAACAGGAAACAGGAUGCCUCUGCUGAAGACAGCAUCUCAUGACACCGCCUGUGAGUCUGUUGCUUCUCUCACUUUCUUUUCCCCUCUCAGCUCAUUCGCACGCCAUCAAAUCUACUUCCCUCUCGAUCCGCAAAUCCUCCAGUUUUCAUGCAAUGACUUGCUUUUUUGGGGGCGGUUCUGCCUGAGGUUUCCUCUAGAGAGGAGCGACUCUUUCAGCACUCAACUCAAGCCUCGGAUCUUGAGUCAAUCCAUUUCUUUAAAUUCCUCAUCUGAUCAAUCAUCAUGUCGUCUUUAACAGCUGCCGCCAUUGCAGAUGCUCCUCACUUCAGGGAGGAAAUUUGAAAGUAGUGAAAUGCAACCUUUUUAUUUCCUCCUGGGCGGCCGCUGCACGCGCAGCUGCUCUGAGAGCAGAGCUGUCGGAGCACCUAAAGUUGCUUAAAGAACGAUAAACAUUUUAGGCACUUUCAUCAGGCGCUAGUGGCUGCCCAGAUUAAAGGAGAACACAGCUCAAUUUAAAAAAAUCCAUGCAUGUUUCUCUUUCAAUCAGCCUGAAAAAGGCCCACACCUCGAUUUAGUGUUGCCAUUUUCGGAGACGUUUGAUGAAAUAUUUGUUGCAAACUUCGAUUCUGAAUAAAAUAACAUCCGCCCGCUUUGGAGCCCCGGUAUUAUGGGUUCAGAUCUGGUUUACGAGCAUCACACCUAGCUUACCUUCUCUUUCACACUUGCCUUUCCUCCCUUUGCAGCAUGACAACAGUGAGCACCAGGCCGUGGCAACAAUGUUCAAAAAGCAGAAUAAUUCACAACUGUGCUGCAUAAAACAAAUGUUCCUCUUCAUAUGUUAAAUCCACUGUGAUUUCUGCUCACCUUUAAAGCGCGGUCUUCCUCAGAAGCUCAUAAUCCUCCUCAUUUUAUACCCUCCCGCCUGUUUCUCCCCGCAGAUGCGCGGCUAGAUACGACAUAUUUACACCAGUGCUGUAAGAAACUAUCACACAUCUGACAGGUUUCAGUAAAAAUACAACACAGAAAUCCACUUCUGGACAUCAUGAAAUGGUAUCAAAUGGACCAAUAAUGCAAAAAAAAGUGGAAUAAAUUAUCAAGUUCCAUGCAAAGGGUUCAUAUUUCCAUUUUUCCCUGACACACCAGUGCUAGACGCAAUUGCCAACAAUUGCUUCAGCACCUUGGUUUCAGAGAUACAGACAGCUGCAAUGUGGAGUGUCUCCUAUCUAAUGACAGAGUUUUUGCUGUUAAACUGUCAGAAGCGCCGUUGUUUGGGCUUUAUCUAAGUCAUUGUUUCAAAAACAUGCUGCCUGGACAGAUAAGAAAUUCCCUCUAGUAGCGCCCUGAACAGCCAGCACACAGAGGCCUAUUAAAAAGACCAAACCGCGCUGAAUGGGAAUAAUAAAAUAAGAUUAUGUCACGUUUCAUAUGCAUUGUUGUCUGUGUUCUUGCUCUGAGAUGAAUGUAAAUGACAUUUUUAUGCACUUCAUCAAUAUAGACACAUUUUUUCCAAUAAUAACCCCAACGUAUGUACGCAUAUUCAAUAAUUUCUCGCCAUGCCCUUCUUUUUCUUUUCUUUUAAAAAAAAAAAAGCAUUAUAUGCAUGCAGUCAGCUAAUCUCUACAUUCAUUGUGCAGAGCAGCAUGUUACAGGUCAUAUACAUUAGAAGAUCUAUAAUUACUCCGAUAUACACAUGAAUAACGUACAUUAUAGAUUCCGGGGGGAAGAUCCUUUGUUGGCUCUGAUAAUGAACAUUAGGUCUGACCUCGGGGUCAGCUACAGAUGUUCAGUGUGUUGUCCUGGGACCUUCUCAGCAGGAUUUAAAUCAGUUAGAACACAGAUUUCCCAGUUUAGAAGAGCUCGAUAAUGAGAAUACGGCUCCUCUGGCUAUGGCUAGAAAUGUUUUAAUAUCAUAUGCAAAGCAAUUCAUACACACAGGUAAGUGUUACAAUUGUGCAACUCCCUCAGUUUAGAGUUGAAAAAUAUAAACAGCAAUUAAUCACCGAAAAACACCGAAUAAUUUCAUAAGUUUCAUACAGCAGACGUGUAAAUAAUCAAAGGAAGGAGUAAAUCAGUUAAUUAGGAUAAUUUGUUGCGUGCCAAUCAAUUCAGUUUAGGAAUGUGCCACAUUUCCUUACGAUCAUUUUAUACCCGGGUGUGUGCUCCUGUGUGCACGUGUGCAUUUGAAAUGCUUGAAAUGUUUUGCUAUUUUGUGUUGCUUGCUUUUAGCAAAACACUUUAUGUUGCUUGUUGCUUGAACAACAAACAACAAGCAACGCAAAGCAGUUGAUAUUGUUUUGAUUGCAAAUAUUGGACCGCGUAUUAAGUCUACAUCGCCCCCUGGUGGUCGGCAGUGGUACAUCACUAAAUCCCUCCCCUAUUUUUUUUGGGUUAGACAUAGCUCCCAUCGACCUGAGCUGAGGUUGUCAUGGUUAUCUCUUUUCACGGUUUACGCCAUAGAAGUGGUCUGAAAUGACAAACACUGCACAAACAGCCCGAUCUGGAGACGUGUGACACCAACACGUGUUACACAAUUAACGCCACAGGUAUUGUCUGUCCCCCCACCCCCCCCCACACACACACACACUUUCCCUCUAUUUUUAGUAAUCCAGGAUACACAAACUAUCGCUAUUACAAGUUGCCUAUUGUUUGUGCAACAAUGAUUUUUUAGAUUAAUACUUCCUAAUCCCAGUAUACUGCAAAUAUGUCCGUGCAAACUCCAAUCACCGCACUUUGUUUAGAGAAAGAGAGAGAGAGAGAGAGAUAGAGAGAGAUCUACAUCUGAUAUCUCGAACGCCUGAAAUAGACUGUAAACACACAUAAAAAAAAGAAAAAAGAAAAAAAAACAGCGGAUAAAGUUUUUGUGUCCGCCGAUUUAGAAGAGCAAUAAGCCACUCUCAUCUCUAGUGGCUUAUUUCCUAAUUAAAUGACAAAUGGAGGGGGGUGGGGGGAGGGGGGGUUGCUUUGCAGAUUGCUUGAAUUGACGUCAAUUGGAUUGGUUAGGUGACAGCGGCAGGCUCCGCCCCCUGUGGGCCAAGGUAGCGCAUGCUAGGAGAGGGAGGAGGGAGCAGGGGGCUGAGCUGAUCCCACGUGUGACGCUUUCAUUCCCGGCUCAGUAAUAUUCUCAUAGCGGGGCUUUGCAUAUCUCCUGGCCGUAUCUGUGUGUGUCUGUCACUGUGACUGUAGUCCCA